AGUCUGCAGCCUGUGUUGAUCCGUGAGUGAACUUCCCCGUGUCCAUAUCCGGGCCGCGUUACACAGAUGCUCUUCCCUAUGUUCCCCAAGUUCCUGCUGAGCCCCGGAAGGAAGAAGACCCAGCAAUGUGUGCCCCCUGGCAGGGAUGAGGCUAUUUGACCAUUUGGGCGUGUUCAAAUCUGGAGGAAAUGUAAAAUCUUCACACUACAAAGAAGUUUUUAGGAAACACAUUUCAAAGCCAGAAGAUGAGCAAAGGCAUUCCUGUACCCAGACUGAGAUAACUUGCUGACAAGAUGAUAAAAGGUAGCAUGGUGUGUGUGCCUUGAUAAAACAGGAGCUUUACUUCCAAAGGUCUUACGCAGGCUGACGGCAGUCCUGGAGAAGAGAUCCAGCCUCGCUCCAGCGGGAUACACACGCAGAUUUUAAUCAGGAGCGACAGCUAUGGAGCAGAGCUGUGUGUGCAGCACCUCUGAGACCUGUGCUCCUGCUGGUGCUCACACUUGCAUGGAGGAGGAGGCACUGAAGACAAGAUCACCCAGUGUCUUUGCCAUAGCCCGGCCUGCAAAUCAGUCUGACAGCAGUAUCAGCUUCCAAGACUUCGUUAGAUUGACAUUCAUGAGCAGAAGAACCCUGAUCAGGCAGUGUGGAAACCUUCUGAAUGCAUGAGGAGGAAAGAAAUCACUGAGAGCAGUGAGAAUAAAGUAUGAGGCUUCAGACAGAGAGAAGAGGAGGAAAGGCACACGUCUGGAAGGCUGUUGGAAGUCUGCAAACUGAUGAUCAGGAAGAAGACGGGAAUGAAUAAGAGCAUAAGAAGAGAGACAAUGACCAGAAAAGAAAUGAUGGAAUAAAAGGUUCAGGAUGCCUAGAGACAAAUGAUAUGGAAAAAGGCCUCCAUGACAGGUCCCUACUGGCACUGACUGUACAAGCAGGAGGACACCUAGGCAGAAGGCGAGGACAGAGCUCCAUCCUCCCUGCACUUCCAGCGUGAGCCCUGUCCUGGGACCCAGAGAGCUUUGGGAACAGAGCCCCCGGCUUCUGAAG